rnacentral:lncRNA from 1 species
UAAUUCACUUGAGUGAACUGUCCCCUCCCAUGUUCUCCAUCCAUUUAGCUCCCUGGACCAGAGCCGUGGCUACUGGGACAGCAGAGUUUAGUGGCUGAAAGUGGAGGCACACCUGCUUCCUACCGCCACCACUCACUGACUGCAAUAUGGGACACAGCUUCUUGAACACUAGCACUCAAUGGUGCUUACCACACAGAGCUGGCAUACAGAUUAUGCAAAGUGCAGAAAACAAAGCAUGCCGGUCUGCGGAGGGGCAUUACUAAAGCGCCCACCAGCUGAAGCUGAAGUCUGGCCUGCUCUCGGUGCUUGUGCUGUAAAUCCUGCAGCUCAGGCUCCGCGUUAUUGGAGAAAAUUCUCAGUAAACAAGCUCUCUCUCUCCAGAAACCCGAGGUGUGAGACGAGAAAAAUCCCUCAGCCUGGAGGUCAGUGGUGACCUUUCCACCGAGGCUGUUUACCCGAAGCUAGCAGCCUGGGGUGGGAGGGUGUGAGCUCCCCUUCUGAGCCGACCGAGUGGGAAUUCCCUCCAGAGCCCUGGCCAUGUCUCACUGCCUACUCGGGGUUUCUGUUGGGCUGAAACUACCCUGCACAAAGCAACUGGAGAAGGGGGAACUCGGGUGUUCUGUUUUCCCCCACUUCUUUUUGAAAACUGAAACUCUCUGACUAGCUUUCCCUAAAUCAUAACCGAGCCAAAGGCUUUCAGAUCGGGCAAGCACAGGAGAACACAGGCAGGGCAUUCUGACUUUGGGAUGCUGU